UUUCCCCCCCUUUUUCGUUUUUCUCUCUCUGCUGGAAUGCUAUUUGUGUUCGGUUUCCAGCUGCUGUUUUGGCUGGGAGAAAGGGGGGGAAAGGGUGAAGGAGCACACUUCAGUUUUCUUUGUUUUUGUUAUUGAACUGAACCGCAGCUCUUCCUCAGUGCUGUGAUUGUCAUCAAGCACUAUUUAGGAGGGAGAAAAAUUUGUAAGUAAGAAGGGGAAUUUGGAUGGAAUGUAUUGCUAUGUGGUUUGAAGUUUGAAGGAUGGAAACUGAAUUACAGGCAUGAUUGAAAAUUAUGGACACUGUGGUCUAGAAUUUGCUUGUAGGUAAGCAUGCUUAAACAAUAUGACGUUUUAUUAACAUUUUAUUUGUUUACAUGCAGUCUAAAAUAUGUAACUGUUCGUUUUGAUAUGUUUCUAAAAUGGUAUUUGAUUGUAUCCUUGACAUGUGAACUUAUCUUCCUCCUUCCACCCACUUUGUCUGAAGGUUAACUGUGUUUGCUGUUGAUUCCAGGGGGGGCUGUGUAUGUGUGUGUGCUUUUGAAAUGGUAUUUAAUUGUAUCACUAAUAUGUGAGCUUUUCUGCCUCCCGUCAAGAGCUUUGUUUAAGUAUUGCCUGCGUCUGAUGUUAAUUUCAGGGUUGCUGUGGGGGUGUUUGUGUAUAUCUGGAGCGCUAUGAAGGAGUGCUAAACGUGCUUAAAAGUUAUGUCGUCACAGUUUCUUUUGUUUCAAUGCUGUUCAGAAUAUGUAGUUGUUCAUUUUGUUGUGUUUUUAUGAUGGUGUUUAGUUGUAACACUAAGAUGGGAGCUUCCCUGCUUCCUAUCAUAUACUAUCCUAUCAUAUGAACACAUACUAUGUGUUCAGUGUUACUAUGCCUGAUGUUAAUUCCAGGGGGAGCUGUGUAUACCAUGAUAACUCUGCCUCCCCCCCCCCACUGUUUAAUAUUGACUGCGUCUUAUGUUGAUUCCAGGGGAAUGUUAUGAUUCCAGUUAUGAUUCUAUUAAGUUUUGUGUGAAAUUCCACAUUUUGUUAGAAUGCAGAGGGUAUUCUGCCUUUCUGCCUAUUCAUUUUGCUGAUGGGACUUUUUGUUAUAUAUGUGGUUGCAAUGUAUACAGGAGGAAGGGCAGGUUUUGUCUACUCCAUUCUCCCAAUGUCAGAUUGCGUGUGUAUUCCUUGUUACGGGAUGCAAUUUUUUUUGUCGGAUGUAAUUUUCUACUUUGGUAUUGGCUUCUUUAUUACAAGACUGUAAUACUUCUUGGGCUAAAGGGAGAUUGGGGAAAGGCUUUGUGAUAAUAUAUACUAUUGUUUUCUUUUUGUUUUCUGUGUGGCCCAUGAAAAUGUGAUCUCCUCACUCCAAAUACUGAGUGAGAAGGAAAGUCUUUGAACAGCCACUUGUUGUGGGUGAGAAGGAAAAGAAAUUCUUGGUCAAAUAGUCAAAUGGAGCUAUUGUUUAAUAUCUUUUCAAUAUGUAAGAAAUAUUCCUGCUAAUUGAUUUUAAUGUGAACUGAGAGUAUUGUCAAUGGGUCUGAGGCUUCAAAUUUAUAAAUUUGUCCUAUCGCCAGCCUUGCUUUGCCUUCACAGUAGCUGAAUUUUGACAUUCCAGAUCCCGGAUGUGGGAUGUGGAAAUUUGUUUGGCCACUCCUGCAAGUGGUAGGGAGUUCCAAAGGACUGGUUUGCAUAUUACCUGGAAAAUCUCCCAGAUUGAAAGGGAUCAAGUUUUUGUGUGUUAUCAUGGAAUCCAUACCCUGUUUUCACAGCUCCCGCCUAGAGAAUAGAUAAUAACUGUGUUUAUCACAGACUUCACUCCUCGGCGAAACUAUGGACAUUUUUCUUGAUGAUAUCUUUUAACAGGGAAGCCUGUUUCAUGAGACACUGGACCUCAUAUAAGGGGUUUUAAAUCCUGUUUCAACAAGAUUGCUCAUUGGGUGAAGCAUUAUACCUGUUGUCAACAGCAGUUGUCGCAAGCCCCAAUUGAGGACAUCCCCUAUUUUGGACUUUGGGGAAGGGGAAAAAGGGCAAGCAGGAAAGCAAAACAUAAGUUGGAAAGAAAAUGCCAAAAGAUCAAAUUGAAAAUAGCCUCAGGUUUGUUUAUUGUAUUGGGCUAUUCAGGGACUCAGUCUCAGUAUGAUGUCCCUACCCGAGAAAGGGGGGGGGGGAUUGGAAAUUCAUGUAUCUGUCUUUUAUUCCUAAAAAUGAGCAGGAUUGCCUUGAACUAUCUUUCCCGGAAGGGGUGUCUAUCUGUCAAAGACCAAGGCAAUUGUCAGGAGAGAGGAAAAGGAGCCUUUAGAGGACCGGGAGGAGAACCGACAGGCCAGGCUAACCAACAGCGGCUGCCUGAAAGGGGGGUUCCCCAUCUAUAUUUCCAGUCCAGGCCAAUGAUGACGGGACAUCCGUUGGCUGCCCUGUUUUGGGUUCGAGGAAAAGGCCGUGAUGCAGGUUUCUUGUUCCUUCUUCUCAUACAUCCCGGAGUGUUUUAGUUACUGAUGCCAAAUAUCUGAUGGAAUUAUGGUGAUGCCAAAUAUCCGAAUUGAUGCCAAAUAUCUGAGGAAGGCCUGUAUGCAUCCAGAGGACGGCCUUGUAUAUACUCGUGCCCUGAGAAGCCUAUACCCACUAUACCUGGUGCCUCUCGUUCCCUGUGAGGGACAGUGACUCUACCUGUUCAACGACCCCAGCCUUUUGUAGACUCCAAGUUGAACCUUAACACCCGGUUGUGUUCAAAUAAGGGGGGAGGGGAUAGGUUGUGGUUGUCAACAGGGGGAGCGGGCAUUCAUGUCGUGAUCUGAAGUGUCAAGCAGCCUUGCUGGGUGAAGAAUUCCUGGAUGGAUAAGUUUUUAAAGAAACACUUGACAUGUUUGGCUUUGGAGCUUCAUUGAAAAUGGGUUAGAGCAUUGCCAUUAGCUCUCUCGUGUACGUCUGACCCUUUUGCCCCUUUUUGGGGUGUUCUAUGGGUGGUUCCCAUUUCGAAUAUCAAGAAUGACUUUGACUUGCUUGUGAGGGGGGAUGAUGAACAGCAGGUGUAUGUACAGGAACUGGUGGAGAGACUUGUUACCGGAUUUGCCCAUGUCCCCAACCUACUGCUGACCAGCCUCUACGUGUACAGUCUGGGGAGCCUUGAUGUCUGUGACUGUGGGAUUGGGGAUGGCUCUUGCAGCAUACUUGUGAAUGUAUUUUUGUGUAUUUCUGUGGAUUUCUGUCACAGAUAUUGGUUUGGGUGCCCCAACUCAGUGGGGUAGGUGAGGCCAAGUUAUCUGUUUGGUCACUCAGGUUUGGCUGUGGGUUGCUGUAUUCAUAUUGUUCUCAACUACUUGGGGCCUAGUGAAACCCCACCCCAUGGUACAGGCAGUAGUCCUUGCCACCAGGCUUAAGGGCUGCUGGGUGUGCACAAAUGCUAACAUACUGCAAAAAUUGCCUGGUUAGGAGGUCCAGUACACCUCACAUGGUGGUUAAGGCCCCCACGUGUGGGAUGAGGUCCUGUUUGGGUUGGCAACACUAACUGACCUUGCUUGGAGACUCACAUGGAGGUGAGGUGGGGCCCAGGUUAAGACCUGGUUCUUCUUAGGAAUACCUGAAUGGUGGAGAGUGAAGCAUUGGUUGCAUUAUCCUGUUGGCAUCCAAAAUGAUACCACAUGGCUACUGUGCCCACUCCUGGCUUGUUGGCAUUGUGAAUGUGGGGAAGUAUUUCCCUCUGCAUGAUGGAGAACAUACAGAUACCUCAGUUACAUUGUUCAUUUGCAUGGAGGGAGUAUAAGGCUAGUGGGGAUUCUGGUGAGCAAUGAAACAUGCAGGGAUGACAUGUACAUCUGGGGUACCCCUUUUGGUAUCUAUGGCUCAGCAUCAUCUGUGCCAGCCACAGGGAUUACUCCCUGACCGGUGCUCCAGCCUGAAGGACCAAUGUAAGAUGUCUUUCAGUUGUUGGGAAGAAGCACUGAGAGAACAGAAAUUUCUACUAGAUUGAGUCAUUGUGGUGCUACCUAUAUUUCAUUUCUUACCCGUUAUGAGAUUAAAGGGAAGAGGCAAGUAAACUAGACACCAUGUGGUUGGGCGUGUCAGGAAGGAGACCAGUGCUGCCAUAGUCUUGGUGUUUCAGUUUUGUAGCCGAACAGCAUAUAAAACAUGACCCCUGAGUGGAAGGGCCGUUACGUCCCAACCUAUAGGGCCCCUUGGGUGGCAGUACCUCCAGAGUAUUGAAUCUAGCUUUCAGCAUUGGCAUUGAACAUCAACCGAUGGCAGUGUGGAACAUAGGGUUUCACAUGGCCUGGAGGGCAAUCCUAUCCAGUCUGGGGGUAAUUGGACUGGAAAUGGCGACAAUAAUUAUCUCCCAGGAAGCUGAGGAGUCAUUUAAUGCUGUUUUGUGUGUAUUGUUGGACUUGCAAGGAGAGGUCCAGUCUUGAUGAUGGUCUCUGAAAUGUUUCCAAUAUGCUCAUUGUCCAACAAGGGGGGGCAUAUUUUCAGUGUGAACACAAGGAUUAUCCUAUUUCUCUGAUGUGGGUGUCAUUGCUAUGAGGGAAUACUUAGUAAGUAUGCCCUUUAUUUUGAUUGAUGGACUUAAUAAGAUAACUGUAUAAAAAUGUGCAGAUGUACGUAAUAUCCUGGUGUAACAUUAUUUCCCAUGUUGGUUGUCAGAAGGAAAUUAUUUACUGUUUCUCCUGUACAGAACUGCUUCUUAUGAUAAUGUGCACUGAUGGUUGUGAUGGCCUUGGGCUUGUUUCUGUUUGCUUGUUGUUACUUGUGUUAAUUGUGUACCCUGCUACUUAUCUACCGUUAGAGGAUAUGGAACCUAUUGAGAGCCAUGUAUGCACAGAAGUCUUAGAUUUGAACUAUUCUGCUCACAGUGACUUGAAGGAUUUACCCCUUCUGGGAAUAAACUAUGAAUGGAGGCAGCUUUAUGCUAAUAGGAGGAGAAGGGCAGGCUAUGCUAUGGUCACCGCAUCCUCUGUUCUUGGGGUCACCCCACUGCCCCCUGGAAUGAGUGCCCAACUGGCAGAACUGGUAACACUUCAUAAAGCGUUGGAAUUGGCUGUGGGCUAUAGGAUGCUGCUUUGUAGGCUGGACGGGGAUCAGAUCAGCCUGUUAAAUGCUCAGUUGCUACAGGCAGUCCAGCCCACAGCCCACAGCCGUGGCAGUUAUGCAUUGCAAGGAACAUCAGGGUGGGCAGGACCCUAUAGCGCAAGGGAAUGCCUUUGCUGAUUCCAUUGCCAGGCUUGCAGCUUGAUUGAAGGCGAUCCCUGCUUUCCAUGUUCCCUUAGUAAACCAUUCACAUCCUUUGCCUUUGACCCCUGAAUAUACUAAGGAAGAUUUGCAGUCCCUACCCACUUGCCCCAUGAGGACUGGACAUAGAAUAAGAAUGAGUGAUGAAUUGAAUUUGAGCUUGUAUUGCAAUUAUGUCAAAAAGCGCAGUCUAACGUAUUCUGUUUGUGGAAGGCAGUUAGUUCAAUUGUCCUAUUGGCUUUUGUUUUGAUUUGUAGAUAUAAUUUUCCCUCGGGUUCAACAUAGUGGGGCUUAUUUGUGAGUAAGCAUUCAUUUGUUUCAAUUUGAUUAGUUAGAAUGUGAACUUGAUAUGUGUAACAGCCCAGUUCUGCUCAUUGGAGUUCCAAGUUUAUUCCCCAAGUGAUUAUGCACAGAAUUGGAUGCCCUAAUAUUUGGGUUUUUUAUAGAACUUUGUAUAAUGAUGUCUUGUAUGGUCUCAGCGUAUGAUGUAUGUGUAGUAUUGGUUCACCCUAGAGGGAGAGAUAGGUUGCUUUAAUGGAUCUGAAGGUACAGAUACGAACAAUAGAAAGGGGGGAAUUGAUGUAUAGUAAAUCAGAAAUGCAUAGAAGUUCAUAGCUUGCCAUAAGCAACGCCAUUAUGUUUAACUAAACUCGAGGAUCUGCUCUGCUAGAAGGAUGCUUACCACUGUGUAUUCUCUCUGGUAGUUUUCCGUCCCCCACAGAUUAGAGUGACCAUGGAUUUAGAAUGUAGAACAAUUUUAAGAUAAGGCUGUCUGUCUGCCUGCAUGUAUGUUUGUGGUUUAUUCCUUAAUCUUAGCAAGUCAUGAUGACAUAUUUGCUAUGUGGCUGAACAACAUGUUGUUCUAGAGAACAUGUUGUUCUAUGUUGUUUUGAGCAUGAGCCAAACAAUACCAUUACUACUUAAGAGUAAAUAAAUCUUUGAUCUUGU